rnacentral:rRNA from 1 species
CCUACGGGUGGCAGCAGUGGGGAAUAUUGCACAAUGGGGGAAACCCUGAUGCAGCGACGCCGCGUGAGUGAAGAAGUAUUUCGUUAUGUAAAGUUCUAUCCGCAGGGAAGAAAAAGAAGGUACCUGAGUAAGCAGCCCCGGCUAACUAAGUGCCAGCAGCCGCGGUAAUAAGUAGGGGGCAAGCGUUGUCCGGAUGUACUGGGUGUAAAGGGAGCGUAGACGGCAGUGCAAGUCUGGAGUGAAAGGCGAGGGCUCAACCCCCGGACUGCACUUGAAACUGUACUGCUGGAGUGCAGGAGAGGUAAGUGGAAUUCCUAGUGUAGCGGUGAAAUGCGUAGAUAUUAGGAGGAACACCAGUGGCGAAGGCGGCUUACUGGACUGUAACUGACGUUGAGGCUCGAAAGCGUGGGGAGCAAACAGGAUUAGAUACCCUAGUAGUC